UACAGAGGAUGCAAGCGUUAUCCGGAAUGAUUGGGCGUAAAGCGUCUGUAGGUGGCUUUUUAAGUCCGCCGUCAAAUCCCAGGGCUCAACUCUGGACAGGCGGUGGAAACUACCAAGCUUGAGUACGGUAGGGGCAGAGGGAAUUUACGGUGUAGCGGUGAAAUGCGUAGAUAUCGUAAGGAAGACCAGGUGGCGAAGGCGGGGUCUCUGGACAGUUCCUGACGCUGAGGCACGAAGGCCAGGGGAGCAAACGGG
rnacentral:rRNA from 1 species